rnacentral:tRNA from 1 species
GCUCAUGUAGCCUAAAUUAAAGCAUAGCACUGAAGAUGCUAAGAUGAACCAUAAAAAGUUCCAUAAGCA